rnacentral:rRNA from 1 species
AUGCACCUCCUCUAUGAUAGCAAGUCAACCCCACCAUCUCUGCCCCCCUUUUCAUGGCGGCUUUGGACGACAGAUGAAUCGAGGCUGUCCCUUUCGUCCACUCACAUCCUCAGUUAUUUCUCUUAUAUACAUACAAAUUAUUAUGGGCGAUGGCCAUGGUCUGUGAAUUCAGGCGUCGUCUGUCGAGGUGAUGUCGACUUAUUCAAGCAGAAGGUUCAUGAGAAAUGUAGUCACUGGUGUUUCUGCACUAGAGCAUUCAGAGUUGUAAGUGACUUUACUUUGGUUACUGAUAGUGCCAAAAGGCACUCAAAAUGUAAGAAAAGUUAUGUGAAGAGAAGCACAACACCUUUACUAUAA